ACAAACUUGGUCAUUUAGAGGAAGUAAAAGUCGUAACAAGGUUUCCGUAGGUGAACCUGCGGAAGGAUCAUUAACAAAUUGUAUUGGUAUAUUAGUGGGCAUUAGUGGAGGCGAGCGUGUAAGCGUGAGCUGAAGCGAGUGAGCUGUGCUGAGUGAUUGUAAGCGUGAGUGAGAAGCGUGAGUGAGCGUGUAAGCGUAAGCCUAAGCGUAAGCGAGCGUGUAAGCGAGAGUGUUAAGCCGGUGUGCUUUUAAGCGUACAGCCUUAGUCUACCGCUAACAAGCCUUACAACCACUCAACACAGCACGGCUCACAGUAACCGAGUUUAUAGUGGGAAUGAGUACAAAAUAGCAAAAAACUUUUAACAAUGGAUCUCUUGGCUCUCGCAUCGAUGAAGAACGCAGC
rnacentral:misc_RNA from 1 species